rnacentral:rRNA from 1 species
GUAGGGAAUAUUGGGCAAUGGUCGGAAGACUGACCCAGCCAUGCCGCGUGCAGGAAGACGGCCCUCUGGGUUGUAAACUGCUUUUAUCUGGGAAGAAAAAGGCCAUGCGUGGCAAAUUGCCGGUACCAGAUGAAUAAGCACCGGCUAACUCCGUGCCAGCAGCCGCGGUAAUACGGAGGGUGCGAGCGUUGUCCGGAUUUAUUGGGUUUAAAGGGUGCGUAGGCGGCUGAUUAAGUCAGCGGUGAAAGACUUCGGCUUAACCGGGGCAGUGCCGUUGAUACUGGUUGGCUUGAGUGUCGGAGGGGUACAUGGAAUUGAUGGUGUAGCGGUGAAAUGCAUAGAUACCAUCAGGAACACCGAUAGCGAAGGCAUUGUACUGGCCGACAACUGACGCUGAUGCACGAAAGUGUGGGGAUCGAACAGGAUUAGAAACCCCGGUAGUCC